GGGUGCGAUAAUACCAACGUUAAUGCACCGGAUCCCAUCAAAACUCUGCAGUUAAGCAUGCUUGGGCUAGAGGAGUACUGUGAUGGGUGACGUCCCGAGAAGCCCUAGUGUUGUACCCU
rfam:Picea glauca, whole genome shotgun sequence.